UAAUACGUAGGGUGCGAGCGUUAAUCGGAAUUACUGGGCGUAAAGCGUGCGCAGGCGGCUUCGCAAGUCAGACGUGAAAUCCCCGGGCUUAACCUGGGAAUGGCGUUUGAAACUACGGAGCUGGAGUGUGGCAGAGGGAGGUAGAAUUCCACGUGUAGCGGUGAAAUGCGUAGAUAUGUGGAGGAAUACCGAUGGCGAAGGCAGCCUCCUGGGCCAACACUGACGCUCAUGCACGAAAGCGUGGGGAGCAAACAGGAUUAGAUACCCUGGUAGUCCACGCCCUAAACUAUGUCAACUAGUUGUUGGGGGAGUUAAAUCCCUUAGUAACGCAGCUAACGCGUGAAGUUGACCGCCUGGGGAGUACGGUCGCAAGAUUA
rnacentral:rRNA from 1 species